UUAAACGUCCAUACCACGUUGAAUACACCGGUUCUCGUCCGAUCACCGAAGUAAAGCAACGUCGGGCGCGGUCAGUACUUGGAUGGGUGACCACCUGGGAACACCGAGUGUUUUAAU
rnacentral:rRNA from 1 species